GUCUACAGCCAUACCACCCAAACAUGCCUGAUCUCAUCUGAUCUCAGAAGCUAAAAAGGGUUGGGCUUGGUUAAUAUUUGGAGGGGAGAAAAAGUAAAAUGUAAGAA
rnacentral:rRNA from 1 species